CCAAGGCGGAGCGAUGGGAGCCAUCCUAGAGUUUGUUGUUGUCGAAGGCGUGAUGGAGAGACUGUUCCUCUGGAGUCUGAGACGACACUUCACUGAUGAUAUGAAACUGGAACAAUUGAGGAUGUACCAGAUGCUUCUAUCUCAGGCCAGACAGCCUCUACUGCACCACAAACCUGUUCUACGACCCUUAAUGAUGCUGUUAUCUCCUGUGCUGGGGCUGGGGCUGGAGGAAGAGGAGGAGGAGGAGGGUCAGUGAAGCAGAGUUGGUGCUCCUCCUCAACCAGCUGUGUGGUGCGCUGGCUAAGGAUCCCUCCGUGUUAGAGUUAUUCUUCCACACCAGUGAGGACCAGGGCGCGGCCAACUUCCUGCUCUUCUCCCUGCUGAUCCCCUUCACCCAUCAGGAAGGCAGCGUAGGACAGCAGGCCCGGGACGCUCUGCUGCUCAUCAUGCAGCUGUCGGCCCACAACCCCAGAGUCGCUACACACAUCACAGACAACACGUACUUCUGUCCUGUACUGGCUACAGGUCUGAGUGGUUUGUAUUCGUCUCUACCUGCGAAGCUGCAGGUGUAUAGUGAGAUCUGGCACUGUCUGGAGAGAGCUGACUGGAU